UUUCAGAAAGAAUACUCAUAGAAUAUAGGAAAUGGAAACUCUCUGCAAGUCUCUUCCCUCUUACUUCAUUUCCUCUGUCUUCAUUGGUACUGCAAAACUACAUUAUUCUCUGUCGGCGAAAGUCUUCAAAAACUGUAAGUUUUCAUUACUUCAAAAACUGUGAGUUAUGCAUAUUGGUUUGAGUUAUGGAUAUUACUUUUCUAAUUCUCAUUCCUUACGUAAUUUGGUUUGAAUUACUUUAUUUGGCUGUGGAGAUUGACGUUUGCUUUAGCAAUAGAAUUUAGUUUUUGAUGAGAUGAAUCAUGAAAUUUAAACUGACCAUAACUCUUGAUAUAGUUAUCCUUUAGUUAAUUAAUUUACAAUUUUUUUGGAUUUUGUUUAGGUGCAAUGCCUUUCUAGUUUAGCAUGGAUAAGAGCUGGAUAAAAUGGUCACCAAAUAGUAUUGAAUACAAAGCAAAAGUUAAGGAAUUUAUCUUGAACUCUAAGAAGUAUGCAAGGAAUCCUGACAUGGUCAUAUGUCCUUGCGCUGUUUGUGGAAACUGUAGCCCACAAACUGAUGAUGACUUGUUCUUACAUUUGAUCAAAUAUGGCUUUGAUCCUAAAUAUAAAGUCUGGGUCUUACAUGGUGAGCCUAGUACAUUUGUACAAGUUAAUGAUUGUGCAUUGUCACCUCAUCUUGAUGAGGAUUAUGAUAUGCCAGAAGCUCAUCAGAUGUAUAAAGAUGCCUGCUUUCAGUUUCCUGAUGGCGUUGCAAGUGCAUCCUAUACAAAUGUAGAAGAUAAGUACAAAAAGAAGAUUAUGGAGGCUGAAAUUCCUCUAUACCCAGGUUGUACAAAAUACACAAAGCUAUCAGCCACCUUAAUCUUGUACAAAUUGAAAGCUACAUCUGGUCUUUCCAAUUCUGGGUUUGAUGACUUCUUGAAGGAAUUCAAAAAUAUGCUGCCAGAUGAAAACAACUUCCCUGAGUCUUUAUACACAGUAAAAAAAACCCUUAAAGAUUUUGAUUUGGGGUACAAGAAGAUUCAUGCAUGCAUCAAUGAUUGUUGCUUAUUUAGGAAAGAGUAUGAGCACUUAGAAACAUGUCCUGAGUGUGAUUCUUCGAGGUGGAAAGUAAACUCACACACUAAGAAGAUAAAAAAAGGAGUGCCUGCAAAAGUCUUGCGCUACUUUCCUAUACUUCCAAGAAUUCAAAGGAUGUUUCUUUCACCAGAAUUAGGAGAGCAGUUAACAUGGCACUCCACUCAUCACAGUCAAGAUGGCAAGAUGCGUCAUCCAGUCGACUCAGUUAGUUGGAGUACCAUAGAUAAAAAGUGGCCUAGCUUUGCUUCUGAUCCAAGAAAUUUGAGAUUUGGACUUGCAACUGAUGGGUUCAAUCCAUUUAGUAACCUUAGCUCCACACAUAGUACUUGGCCAGUGAUUCUAGUCAUAUACAAUCUUCCGCCAAAUGUGUGUAUGUCAUCUGAAAACUUAAUGCUAAGUUUACUCAUUCCAGGCCCUAGACAACCAGGAAACGAUAUCGACAUAUAUUUGCAGCCACUUUUAGAUGACUUGAAAGAUCUGUGGAACAAUGGUGUGGAGAUGUAUGAUGCUUAUAAUAAAGCCACUUUUAACCUUAGAGCUAUCUUGUUGUGGACAAUCAAUGAUUUUCCAGCUUAUGGAAAUUUAGCCGGGUUAACUACAAAAGGAGAAUUUGCUUGUCCUAUAUGUGGUCCUAAUACAUGCUCCCAAUGGUUACCACUUGCAAAAAAGACAGUAUACAUGGAUCAUAGACGAUUUCUUCCAUCAAACCAUGUCUUACGUUCUAAACACAAGUGGUUCAAUGGAAGAAAAGAAAAACGGCUGCGGCCUAAAAUAUUUACAGGGAGAGCUAUGGUUCAUGCUUUAUCUGGAUUUAUAAAUAAGUGGGGGAAGAAAAAAAAAUUAGAGAAGAAAUUAAAGAAAGGUGACCCGUCUAAAUUGUUGAAAAAGAAGUCAAUAUUUUUUGAUUUGCCAUACUGGGAGGUUAGUAUUUUCACCAUUGAAUUUCUAAAUUAUUACUUAAUUGAUUUCUCGUCAGAAUAUUGAAUUUUAUUGUCAUAUGUUUCUUGUUUGAUACUAUAUAGGAAAUGCCUCUGCGCCAUAAUUUGGAUGUGAUGCAUAUUGAAAAGAAUGUCUGCGAGAGUAUUUUAGAAAUUAUCUUCGAUGUGAAGGGAAAAUCUAAAAUUGGGUUAGAGUCACGUAGAGAUCUAGAAUUACUGGAACUUAUGGAUGAAAUUCUGUUAGUAGAACGAAAGGAUAAGCUGGAACCAUCACAACCUUACACCUUAACAAAAGAUGAGAAGCUGAAAUUCUGUUGGAGGCUAUAUAUGCAGAGGUUUCCUGAUGGAUAUUGCUCAAAUAUUGGGAAUUGUAUCAAGUUGAAAGAAUGCAAAAUACUUGGUCUCAAGUCCCAUGACCAUCAUGUGUUGAUGCAGCAGCUAUUGUCUGUUGCUGUGAAAGGUCUUUUACCUGUGGGUAUUAGAAAAGCAAUAUUUCGUCUCUCAUCAUUUUUUCAUGACUUGUGUCAAAGAGUACUUGAUAAAAAAAGAUUGGAAGAGUUGGAAGAUGAGAUUAUUGAGACUCUCUGUUUGUUGGAAAGAUACUUCCCUCCAUCAUUUUUCGACAUAAUGAUUCACCUUACAAUUCACAUAGGAAGAGAAGCAAAAUUAUGUGGCCCAGUGCAUUAUAGGUGGAUGUACCCUUUUGAGAGGUAUUGUGCUGUUAAUAUUCUAUUUUCUUGUGAUGUCUCUUUUUCUUUUGUUAACUGUCGAUUUUGUUUAAAUUUUUAGAUACAUGAAGGUCCUUAAAGAUUAUGUUAAGAAUCGUGCAUUUCCUGAAGGAAGUAUUGCAGAAAACUAUUUAGCAGAUGAGUGUGUUAGGUUUUGUGGUCGAUACAUGAAACAAGUUGCUGUGUUUAGUAGUAAACGAAAACGCAAUGCUGUAGUCGACGAUGAGACAAUCAUAGAAGGAUCCACGCUUCUAAAAGGGCGAUCUGUACAAUUGACUGAGGUUAUGCAUAAAGCUGUUCAUCUGUGUGUGCUUCUUAAUAGUGAAGAUGUUGUACCCUAUAUUGAGGUUCAUAAGGAAGAGUUAAAGUCCUCUGAUCAACAUUUGAUAAAAGCACCAAAACUGCUAGAGAAAAGACAUUUGGAGACAUUUGUUGAAUGGUUACAAGCUAAGGUUUGAAACAUUGAUCUGGUUCCUGUGUUUUAGGGUAUUGAUUGUCUUACUUGCUUUUAAAAGUAAACUCUGUUAUUAUUAUUUUUUUUCAGAUUAAACUUGAAGCUGGUAGUACUAGUUUCAAGCUUGAAACAUUCCCAUUGCUUGUAAAAGGGCCUAGGCAUUCUGCAAUGUCUCACACCGGUUUUCUUAUUAAUGGAAAACGCUUUCAUACUAUGGAAGCUAAUGUUUCGACGCAAGAUUAUGGUGUACAUAUAGAAGCAGAUACCUUAUGCAAUUAUUAUGGUAUUAUCAAAGACAUUUUGGUCUUGGACUUCUACAAAUUUCGGUUAGCUGUAUUUCUUUGUGAUUGGGCCAACAUUGUUUCUGGUGUAAAGAAAGUGGAUGGAUUCACCUUAGUUAACCUCCAUGAAGGUUUAAGUAAAAAGGAUCCAUUCAUUUUAGCAUCACACGCUCAGCAAGUGUUUUACUCUAGAGAUAACGAAACUUCAAGCUGGUAUGUGGUGUUAAAGGCACCACCAAGAGGUUUUCAUGAUCUGGAUAUUUUUGAUGAGAGUGUGUUUACAUCUUAUGUUCCUCAAGACGCCUCUGCACUUCACAUAGACAAUGAGGAUAGUGAUGAAAGCUGAUCACUUAUGUACCUAGGGAUAGUACAUGUAAAUGAUCAUUUUGUGUAAUUAAUAUGUGUAAUUCUCUGUGAUAUACUGUGAAUGUAAUAUAUUUUGUAAUUUCUGUUUCAAUUACAAUGUUUUGGGUUUACUUCUUCAUAUUGUCUAUGUGCUGUAUUGUGGAUGUAAUAUAUUUUGUAAUAUUAAGUUCUAACUUUCUUUUCAUGU